CACCUCCAGGACAGACAGGAGUCCUUGACAUUGAGAGGCAUCGUGGCAAUACUGCAUAGAAGGGAAGCUGGGCUUUGGGCUGCGCCUCCUGAGAGUGGAUUGUCUGAGGUGUCAGCAGGACGCCCGUCAGAUUGGAGUGCAAUGGCACGAUCUCGGCUCACCGCAACCUCUGCAUCCUGGGUUCAAGCAAUUCUCCUGCCUCAGCCUCCCGAGUCACUGGGACUACAGAUUUCAGGUGGAGGAGAGAGAAAAUGGCUUGUGACCUUGCAGGUUUCAAUAGAAGAGCAAACAAGAAGGGCAGAUAAGGAGACGCCAGUGAGAUUCUAUGACCUGUCAUUAGGGAUGGGCUUCCCAGCUAUCAAAUGUUUGCUCACAUAAUAAAAUGGUGGCAGAGCCCAAAAUGUUGUCAAAGGAACUGGAGUUAUUUGCCCCCUUCAGAGUCUAAACACAAACAUCUGAUAAGGGGUGCACUGUGGUCCCCUAGAACUGGAGGCC